GUCCUGAGGGGGUCUCUCCAGGCCAAGCCUUGGAGACUCAGGAGAGGUUCUAAGGGACCUCCCAGCUCUGACAUUCCGGAGAGACUUACCUCAUUAGAGGGGAGUUCCCGCUGCCCCCAACCCACCCAGCCAGCGUUUACUGAGCAUCUGCGAUGUCUCAGGCGCUGUACACACAUCAGCCUGCACCCAGGUCUUCUCGUGGCCUCCGCCCCUCCGCGCCCUCCCCGUGACUGCCUGCAUCCCUGCUUUACAGACGAGGAAGCCAAGUUUCAGGGCAAUGGAAGCCAGAUAUGCGUGCCUCUCACACACAACCUCCCCCUGGCCAAAAUGGCAUUUCCUUGGGAAAGAGGGCAAGGGCACCGAGCUGGGGGCUCCGCCUGGCACCUGGCUGACGUGGGGGGUCCACCCCAAAGAAAGAAUGCUGCUGGGGGGGAGAGGGUUCUCUUCACCCUCACAGGGGUCCCAGGGACCCUGCCACAGACCCCCAACUACAUAUACACCUGUGUGCACUUGUGUGAAGGUUCACAGGCAAGGAUGUGCUGGGUACGUUGCGUGUGAGUUUGGGGGUGGUUGGAGCAGCGGGGCUUGGGCCUGCCGGUGUGAGUGUGUGAGGACGAGUGUGUGCCCACACCCGCGUGUCCCAGAGGAAGGGGGCGGGCGGGAGAACUGUGAUGACCCUCAGGUCACAGUGAAGAAGCUGAGGACGAGGGCAGGCCCGGUGCAUCCGGUGUGUGUGUGUGCACGCCUGUCUGCGUGUGUGUGCACGUCUGCGUGUGUGUGCACGUCUGCGUGUGUGUGCACGUCUGUGCCCGGGUGUGUGCGCGCGCAGUGGGAGGCGGGGGUAUGGAGGCAGGCUGCCUGCGGCUCCAGCCCUGUAAUAGACCCUCCCCGUCUCGCCGCCGGAGGAGCAGCGCUAAUAAGUGUUUUGCACAGGGACCCACCUCCUGCCACAGCCUGAACCUGUGCCCUGGGCCGGUCUGACAGAGACCCCUCCCGGCCAGGGCCUGGCCUCAGGCUGAUCCCGGAGGGACAGAGGUGUCUCUGGGACCUGAACCGGCCUGGUGAAGACGCUGGACUCCCAGCAGGCUUGCUGGUUUCAGCCUUCCUGCAGGCCUCAGCCCUCAGACUGUGAACCGCCCCCCAAGGGGAGGGCACAACAGCUCCUCCAGCAGUUAGGGGGUUUCCAGGAGUGGCCUGCGUGCCCUCUCUCAAGACUAGGAGCUCCCUGUGGGCCGGAGCCGCAGCUCUUGCUUCAGAGUAGAGAUAUUCCGCGGGCAGGGGCCGGGGCUUACCCAUCAGUUCAGCCCGCGCACCUCAGAGGAGGCGCCAGACAGCACCGCUUCCAGCUCUGAGCCCCCAGAUCGUUGCCUGAGAGGGGAGGCAGGCGGGGGCAGCUGGUCGUUAGACUUGGGCCAAGGCCUCGGGCAAAGGCCGUGGGGCAGGCUGGCGGUGGAACCCCUCUGCCCUGCUCCUGCCCCCAGCCCAUCUCCCAGUCUCCCACGGAUUUUGACCACCCCUUCCUUCUCUUAUCAGAAACCCAGAACCAGCCCUCGAAACCCCUGGCCUCGGGAAACCCCUGGCCUCGGGAAACCCCGGCCCACCCUGCAC
ensembl:lncRNA